rnacentral:rRNA from 1 species
CAGCAGCCGCGGUAAUUCGGAGGGCGCGAGCGUUGUUCGGAAUUACUGGGCGUAAAGCGCGUGUAGGCGGCCAGGUAAGUCGGAUGUGAAAGCCCGGGGCCCAACCCCGGAACUGCACCCGAUACUGCCCGGCUGGAGUCCCGGAGAGGAUGGCGGAAUUUCCGGUGUAGAGGUGAAAUUCGUAGAUAUCGGAAGGAACACCAGUGGCGAAGGCGGCCAUCUGGACGGUGACUGACGCUGAGACGCGAAUGCGUGGGGAGCAAACAGGAUUAGAUACCCUGGUAGUCCACGCUGUAAACGUUGGGUGCUAGACGUCGGGGGUAUUGACCCCUCCGGUGUCGAAGCUAACGCAUUAAGCACCCCGCCUGGGGAGUACGGCCGCAAGGCUAAAACUUAAAGGAAUUGACGG